AUUGAACGCUAGCGGGAUGCUUUACACAUGCAAGUCGAACGGCAGCGCGGACUUCGGUCUGGCGGCGAGUGGCGAACGGGUGAGUAAUGUAUCGGAACGUGCCCAGUAGCGGGGGAUAACUACGCGAAAGCGUAGCUAAUACCGCAUACGCCCUACGGGGGAAAGCAGUGGAUCGUAAGACCUUGCACUAUUGGAGCUGCCGAUAUCGGAUUAGCUAGUUGGUGAGGUAACGGCUCACCAAGGCGACGAUCCGUAGCUGGUUUGAGAGGACGACCAGCCACACUGGGACUGAGACACGGCCCAGACUCCUACGGGAGGCAGCAGUGGGGAAUUUUGGACAAAGGGGGCAAGCCUGAUCCAGCCAUCCCGCGUGUGCGAUGAAGGCCUUCGGGUUGUAAAGCACUUUUGGCAGGAAAGAAACGUCGCGGGCUAAUACCCCGUGGAACUGACGGUACCUGCAGAAUAAGCACCGGCUAACUACGUG
rnacentral:rRNA from 1 species